rnacentral:rRNA from 1 species
CGAACGCUGGCGGCAUGCCUAACACAUGCAAGUCGAACGAGACCUUCGGGUCUAGUGGCGCACGGGUGCGUAACGCGUGGGAACCUGCCCUUAGGUUCGGAAUAACUCCCCGAAAGGGGUGCUAAUACCAGAUAAUGUCUUCGGACCAAAGAUUUAUCGCCUUUGGAUGGGCCCGCGUUGGAUUAGCUAGUUGGUAGGGUAAAAGCCUACCAAGGCGACGAUCCAUAGCUGGUCUGAGAGGAUGAUCAGCCACACUGGGACUGAGACACGGCCCAGACUCCUACGGGAGGCAGCAGUGGGGAAUAUUGGACAAUGGGCGAAAGCCUGAUCCAGCAAUGCCGCGUGAGUGAUGAAGGCCUUAGGGUUGUAAAGCUCUUUUACCCGGGAUGAUAAUGACAGUACCGGGAGAAUAAGCUCCGGCUAACUCCGUG